GGUUCACUUACUUGUCCGUCUCCUGUGACAUAUUUCUCCGGCUCCUCUUGCGAAACUGGACUUUCAAGUCGGUGCAGAACCUGGGCUACAGGCUGAACGCUUUCAGAUUCCAGGAGGCGGUACCGACGUCGAAACCAGGUCCUUUCAGUUCUUGAUCAAGAAUCCAAUCCAAGGUAAUGGUCUGAAAGAAUCUUCUUUCUCCUGAUUAUAAGUGAUCUGCGUUAACGGAUUACCUUAUUGCUUCUACCUACCUUUGGUGGGUGCUAUCUGGACCACUGCUCCAACGGAUAACUCAAUGUUAUGAAUGUGGACUGACUAAACAAAGCUGAUCUGUGAUAUUUAGGUACCUUUGUUCUAAGCACUGUAUAUACCCCAAAUAAUAUUGUUUCCGAUACAUUUCUGUUUAAAUAAACAAAGAUGUUUACACACAUGGACAGGAAUGUUAGCAGAGUACUGUAUUUUAUUGCUAGAAGAAGCAAUCCAUUUUCUUUUUAACUCUUGGUAUCUGCAGAUCAUGAAUGGAGGAAAACAGAAGGAGUGUGAUUUUAUGAAUUUUUGUUAAAGUGAAAAGCAGACCAAUUUGUUAGCUCAUCAGUGUUACAUUCAGUUAACAUUUAGAAUAAAAAGGCCUAAAAGCUCCUUCCACAGCCUCAUCUUCUGGAAACCAAAAUGACUGGCAGUAGAUUUGACCGUUAUUGUGAGACUAGUCCUUUUAUGAUCCUCCAGCUGCGUACAUUGAAGCCCAUUUUAGAUUGCCGCACUGCUAACUCAGCACAUACUCUGCAAUAAAAUCCUCUUGUUCAAUGUGAAUGCUGGAAAGGUCUUUUACAUUGGUGACAAAGUAUAGGAAACAUCAAACAUGACUCAGCCUUUCCAAGCCAUCAAUCAACUGCAUCCCAUUUGUUCUUAAAUACGGCAACAUAAUCCAACUUCAGUAUUCCUCUCAGCAGACAUUUCCACGCAUUCACCGCCCUCUGUGUAAACACAUUUAGUUUAAAUUAUUCGUCUCUUUCUGACCUUCAGUCAGUGCAACCUUUAAGGUGUGACAACUAAAAGCAUUUUUCAAGUUCAAUUUAUCCAUCCCUAUCUCUGAGUCUUGAAUACUUCAGUAAGAUUUCCCUCUGCUUUCACUUCUCGAACCAUAAUGUCCAGAUUUUAUAGCUGCUUCAGCUCAAGCGUCUAAAACCUGAUGCAAAUUUACUCACUCUUUGAUGUUCGCCUGUACAAAGUCAAAAAACGUCUCAACAUCAAUUACGUAUAUGGAAUUGAACCAACAUGUUUUAGAAACUCACUAUUGUGAAUUGGAACUGCUACCAUAGCCCUCUCUGUAGUUAUCCUAGGAUCUUCCUCGUUUACUGAUGCUACAUUCUGUGUUCACAGUUUUAAUGAUCACUAAUACCCCGGAUCUUUUUGUAAGUUGUGCCAUGAGUGCGUUUGUGUCUGAGCCUUCAGAGGCCAGAGUGACUAAUUCAGAAAAGAAAAUAAGAGUCCGUUUGGCAUGAAGUUACCUUGUGAGCCUGUGGACUAUAAGGAAUGCUGAUGAGACCUUUGGUGGGUGUUCUCUGGACCAUGGGUACUGGGGGAAGCACCUGUCUGGAAGUGUGGGAAGGGUGUAUACCCUCUCAAACACUCGAAGCAGAGGGUGACUGUCUAUACGGGUGAGUGGGUCACUGAGAGAACGCCACAUUGCAUGUUUAUAGGUAUUUAUUUGCAAACAUCAUGGAUGUUGGGGAAACAGAGGGGACCAACAAGAAGUCUCCAAAUCUGUGGGCGAUAUGGUGGCUUAGAGGUUAGCAAUGCUGUCUCACAGCACCAGGGACCAGGGUUUGAUUCCAGCCUUGGGGAGUUUGUACGUUCUCCCU